UUAAGUUCAGCGGGUAUCCCUACCUGAUCCGAGGUCAAACCUUGGUGUGAGAUUUGGUCUCGGGCGGGCGCCGGUCCGCACCUGAAGCGUGUGACGAGAUGUCCCCAUACGCUCUGGCUGAUCGGAUUACCGCGACGCCGCCACUGCAUUUCGGGCCCGUCCGCCCCGGGAGGCGGACGCGGGACCCAUCACACAAGCCG
rnacentral:misc_RNA from 1 species